rnacentral:rRNA from 1 species
UACGUAGGGUCCGAGCGUUGUCCGGAAUUACUGGGCGUAAAGAGCUCGUAGGUGGUUUGUCGCGUUGUUCGUGAAAACUCACAGCUCAACUGUGGGCGUGCGUGCGAUACGGGCAGACUAGAGUACUGCAGGGGAGACUGGAAUUCCUGGUGUAGCGGUGGAAUGCGCAGAUAUCAGGAGGAACACCGGUGGCGAAGGCGGGUCUCUGGGCAGUAACUGACGCUGAGGAGCGAAAGCGUGGGGAGCGAACAGG